rnacentral:rRNA from 1 species
ACUGUAGGCUGCAACUCGCCUACACGAAGCUGGAAUCGCUAGUAAUCGCGGAUCAGCACGCCGCGGUGAAUACGUUCCCGGGCCUUGUACACACCGCCCGUCACACCAUGAGAGUCUGUAACACCCAAAGCCGGUGGGAUAACCUUUAUAGGAGUCAGCCGUCUAAGGUAGGACAGAUGAUUAGGGUNAAGUCGUAACAAGGUACC